rnacentral:rRNA from 1 species
UACGUAGGGGGCGAGCGUUGUCCGGAUUCAUUGGGCGUAAAGAGCUCGUAGGCGGUUUGGCAAGUCGGGUGUGAAAACUCCGGGCUCAACUCGGAGACGCCACUCGAUACUGCCAUGACUCGAGUCCGGUAGGGGAGUGCGGAAUUCCUGGUGUAGCGGUGAAAUGCGCAGAUAUCAGGAGGAACACCGGUGGCGAAGGCGGCACUCUGGGCCGGUACUGACGCUGAGGAGCGAAAGCGUGGGGAGCGAACAGG